rnacentral:rRNA from 2 species
UUAAAUUGAAGAGUUUGAUCAUGGCUCAGAUUGAACGCUGGCGGCAGGCCUAACACAUGCAAGUCGAACGGUAACAGAAAGCAGCUUGCUGCUUUGCUGACGAGUGGCGGACGGGUGAGUAAUGUCUGGGAAACUGCCUGAUGGAGGGGGAUAACUACUGGAAACGGUAGCUAAUACCGCAUAACGUCGCAAGACCAAAGAGGGGGACCUUCGGGCCUCUUGCCAUCGGAUGUGCCCAGAUGGGAUUAGCUUGUUGGUGGGGUAACGGCUCACCAAGGCGACGAUCCCUAGCUGGUCUGAGAGGAUGACCAGCCACACUGGAACUGAGACACGGUCCAGACUCCUA